CCAAAGGCUCUUUUAAGAGCCACUCCGUGCACAAGAAAAGGAGCUGU
rfam:Struthio camelus australis contig44109, whole genome shotgun sequence.